GGGAUGCUGAACACUGGAGGAAGCUGCUUUCUCCUCUGAUCUCUCUGCUGAUCCCAAGUGGGUUAUUGCUGUGCUCAGAGCUGGAGUGCAGGAAAGAGAAGGAAUGUGUAUGGGAAGGAUGGACAGGCCAACAGGAGGAAAGAGAAAACAGGCAGCAGUAGUGACAGCAGAUCCGAGUGGGAUUUUAUGACAUUUCGGGGUUCCCUUAUGCGAUCACAGCGAUGGAGCGCACCCACAUCAUCCUUCACAUCCCUGCCUUCCCCCUUUGGACAUGGGAAAUUUGGAAAUUCACUCCCUGACUCCAUGAAUAUUAGAGCAAUGGCAAUAAUGCCACUCAACACGACGUGACGUGACGGGACCGAACGCAACUCAACGGCUGAGAAAACAACGGGAAACUUCUGGAGGUGUGACAUGGACCCCCAAAAUUACACUGGAAUGAGCCUUGGGAUGAUCCCAGGAGUCAAAUGUGCAAAAUGGUGCAGCUGAGUGACUUCUGUCUUCGUGAAGCAAACUAUUCCCAUGUGCACACAAAAAGGACCUUCAGCUACAUCAACAGCAGGAUAUUUCCAUUUAAACACGCCACUUAAGCACAGAAAGUGAAGUUCCCUCCAUUUUUGAAGAUUUCACUGGAAGAGCCUGAAUUCCUUAGCCGACAGGAUUGCACCAGAGAAGAUUUUCAGGGAUGUUCAGAAAGUCAAUAGCUGGAGUGAAUAAAGGUUGGAAAGGUCCCUGUGGCUCACCCAGCUCUGUACUCACUGCUCCAUGGAUCCAACCCUCCUGCUAAGCUAAGCUUUGUGGGAGAAAGGAAGGAGGAAUACACCCCCUAAAGAACAGCACAACAGUUUCCAGGCUGAAGUCUCUAACAUACACAACCUCCUCUGUGCUUCUGCAGACACAGACCCACCAGCCCUGUGAGAAGAUGAGUGUGUUUACCAUGUUGAAGAGAUCAGCAGCAGAUUUAUUAGACAGAGUAAAGCCUUCGGGCAGACGAGAAAAAUUCUAAAAAAUCCAGUUUCCAAGCAGGAAAUUUGAGGAGUGAUGCAGAGAUCGUGACAGAAGCUGAAAACUGCAUGCAGAGACAAUGCCUCAGUGUCAAAAUUAACACAUGAAAACAGCAACAAUACAUAUUUUGGAGAAAUGUUUUAUAUAUUUGACCUGUUUCGUUGGUUUUUUUUUUUUUGUUUUUUUUUUUUUCCCAGUAGAGAAAAA